rnacentral:rRNA from 1 species
UACGUAGGGUCCGAGCGUUGUCCGGAGUUACUGGGCGUAAAGCGCGCGCAGGCGGCGGUGUUGGCCCGGCGUGAAAGCCCCCGGCUCAACCGGGGAGAGUCGUCGGGGACCGCACCGCUUGAGGGCGGUAGGGGCUGGUGGAAUGCCUGGUGUAGUGGUGAAAUGCGUAGAGAUCAGGCAGAACACCUGGGGCGAAGGCGGCUAGCUGGGCCGUCCCUGACGCUGAGGCGCGAAGGCGUGGGGAGCGAACGGG